GCCAGGUGCGGUGAUGCACACCUGUAAUCCUAGCAGCUUGGGAGGCUGAGGCAGGAGGAUCGGAAGUUCAAAGCCAGCCUCAGCAACUUAGUGAGGCCCUAAGCAACUUAGGAAAAUCCUGUCUCUA
rnacentral:sRNA from 1 species